rnacentral:rRNA from 11 species
GUUUGAUCCUGGCUCAGAACGAACGCUGGCGGCAUGCCUAACACAUGCAAGUCGAACGAAGGCCCGGAGCUUGCUCCGGUGUCCUUAGUGGCAGACGGGAUAGUAACGCGUGGGAAUUUGCCCAAUAGUACGGAAUAACUGCGGGAAACUGCAGCUAAUACCGUAUACGCCCUCCGGGGGAAAGAUUUAUCGGUGAAAGAUCGGUCCGCGUUAGAUUAGCUAGUUGGUG